rnacentral:rRNA from 1 species
UACGAAGGGAGCUAGCGUUGUUCGGAAUUCCUGGGCGUAAAGGGCGCGUAGGCGGUUUGAUAAGUUUGGUGUGAAAGCCCUGGGCUUAACCUAGGAAUAGCAUUGGAUACUGUCAGACUAGAGGCCGAGAGAGGGAAAUGGAAUUGCGAGUGUAGAGGUGAAAUUCGUAGAUAUUCGCAAGAACACCAGUGGCGAAGGCGAUUUCCUGGCUCGGUACUGACGCUAAGGCGCGAAAGCGUGGGGAGCAAACAGG